rnacentral:rRNA from 1 species
UACGGAGGGGGCUAGCGUUGUUCGGAAUUACUGGGCGUAAAGCGCACGUAGGCGGCUUUGCAAGUUAGAGGUGAAAGCCCGGGGCUCAACUCCGGAAUUGCCUUUAAAACUGCAUCGCUAGAAUUGUGGAGAGGUAAGUGGAAUUCCGAGUGUAGAGGUGAAAUUCGUAGAUAUUCGGAAGAACACCAGUGGCGAAGGCGACUUACUGGACACAUAUUGACGCUGAGGUGCGAAAGCGUGGGGAGCAAGCAGG